rnacentral:rRNA from 1 species
UCCGUGGUGGUUAUUGCUGGAGGGUCACACCCGGUCUCUUUCCGAACCCGGUCGUUAAGUCUCUUUGCGCUGAUGGUACUGCCCUGUGGUGGGGUGGGAGAGUAGGUCGCUGCCACGGU